rnacentral:snoRNA from 1 species
AACCCAUGGUGUGGGCAUUGGUUUGUGUAGCUCCUGAAUCUCUCAUAUGCUUCACCAAAACUUUCAUUGCUCCCCGGCAACGGCGCCAAUUGAUAGACAAGACUUUUUAUGGUCUCAGGGC